AUACGGAGGAUGCGAGCGUUAUCCGGAUUUAUUGGGUUUAAAGGGUGCGUAGGUGGUAGAUUAAGUCAGCGGUGAAAGUUUGUCGCUCAACGAUAAAAUUGCAGUUGAUACUGGUUUCCUUGAGUACGGUACAGGUGGGCGGAAUUCGUGGUGUAGCGGUGAAAUGCAUAGAUAUGACGAAGAACCCCGAUUGCGUAGGCAGCUGGCCAGACCGCAAAUGACGCUCAUGCACGAAAGUGCGGGGAUCGAACAGGAUUAGAUACCCUGGUAGUCCGCACAGUAAACGAUGAAUACUUGUUUUCGGCGAUAUAAUGUCGGAGGCAAAGCGAAAGCGAUAAGUAUUCCACCUGGGGAGUACGCCGGCAACGGUGAAACUCAAAUGAAUUGGCGGGG
rnacentral:rRNA from 1 species